rnacentral:rRNA from 1 species
GACGAACGCUGGCGGCGUGCUUAACACAUGCAAGUCGAACGGAAAGGCCCCUUUGGGGGUACUCGAGUGGCGAACGGGUGAGUAACACGUGAGUAACCUGCCCUUGACUUCGGGAUAACUUCAGGAAACUGGGGCUAAUACCGGAUAGGAAUCCUUGCUGCAUGGUGGGGGUUGGAAAGCUUCGGCGGUUUUGGAUGGACUCGCGGCUUAUCAGCUUGUUGGUGGGGUAGUGGCUUACCAAGGCUUUGACGGGUAGCCGGCCUGAGAGGGCGACCGGCCACAUUGGGACUGAGAUACGGCCCAGACUCCUACGGGGGGCAGCAGUGGGGAAUAUUGCACAAUGGGCGGAAGCCUGAUGCAGCAACGCCGCGUGCGGGAUGACGGCCUUCGGGUUGUAACCCGCUUUCAGCAGGGGCGAAGCUUGUGGUGACGGUACCUGCAGAAGAAGCACCGGCUAACUACGUG